AGAGUUUGAUCAUGGCUCAGGAUGAACGCUAGCGGCAGGCCUAAUACAUGCAAGUCGAACGCUCAGUAGCAAUACUGGGAGUGGCGCACGGGUGCGUAACGCGUACACAAUCUACCUCUAAGCGGGGGACACCUCCUGGAAACGGGGAUUAAUACCGCAUAAUAUACCGAGGUCGCAUGACUUUGGCAUUAAAGCAGCAAUGCACUUAGAGAUGAGUGUGCGUCCCAUUAGGUAGUUGGUGAGGUAACGGCUCACCAAGCCUAUGAUGGGUAGCCGGUCUGAGAGGAUGGUCGGCCACACGGGCACUGAGACACGGGCCCGACUCCUACGGGAGGCAGCAGUAAGGAAUACUGGUCAAUGGUGGAAACACUGAACCAGCCAUGCCGCGUGGAGGAAUAAGGUCCUACGGAUUGUAAACUCCUUUUGACGAGGAAGAAAGUGUUAGAUUUAUCUAAUUUUGACGGUACUCGUAGAAUAAGCACCGGCUAACUCCGUG
rnacentral:rRNA from 1 species